AUUGAACGCUGGCGGCAGGCCUAACACAUGCAAGUCGAACGAGGCGCGGGCGGGAGAGUAAUGUCUGGGACACUGCCUUAUGGAUGGGGUCAACUACUGGAACCGGUGGCUACACCCGCAUAGCUGCGGCUGUGUCCAGAUGGGAUUAGCUAGUAGGUGGGGUAAAGGCUCACCUAGGCGACGAUCCCUAGCUGGUCUGAGAGGAUGAUCAGACACACUGGAACUGAGACACGGUCCAGAAUCCUACGGGAGGCAGCAGUGGGGAAUAUUGCACAAUGGGCGCAAGCCUGAUGCAGCCAUGCCGCGUGUGUGAAGAAGGCCUUCGGGUUGUAAAGUACUGUCAGCGGGGAGGCGUUACCCGCAGAAGAAGCACCGGCUAACUCCGUGCCAGCAGCCGCGGUAAUAC
rnacentral:rRNA from 1 species